CAGGUACACACUUAUGCACACAUACCCAUAAUGUUUUCACACACAUGUAUACUCACACGCAUGCACACUGUCACACACAGACACUUAUAUACAUGCUCACAUAACAUGCACUCAUAUUCACGUACACAGACACUCACACAAUCACAUAUAUACACAUUCAGACACUCAUAUGCACUCUCACUUAGACGCUCGUACACACUCACAUGCUCACACACAGACACACACUCCCAUACACGUGCCUAGACACACUCGCUCUCCUGGGCAGCCUUUCACUGGUGGCCACGUCAGGGGCUGAACUUGGAGGGAGAACCAGGGUGAGGGGGCAUUUGGGGAGGGGGCUGGUGGUGAGGCUAAAGUGUGGACUGUGGGAUUAGGAAAAGCUGGUGGGAAUCUCCAGGCCCCUGGCAGGAGCCCAGGACAAAGAGAUGACUGAUUAGGACUGAGGUCUGUGAGUAAGAACUGAGCUAUUCUCUGUCGCCCUCUGAGAGUCUGAGCGCCAAGGGGAGGUAGGAAGGAAGGGGGCUGUGGCGAAAGAGGCAGGCGACGGCAGCGGUGGGCAUCCCUGCCCCUGCCCCACUCUCAGCGCCAUGGUAGGAGGCUACAGGUUGGCCUGCUCCCCUCUUCGAGCAGCAGCAGCACAAUCAGGAAAUGGGUGCAGUUAAUCCCCCCACACACAGGGCUCAGGAAACUUCAACCCAGCCAGAGGGGAGGGAGCUGCAGUGCCGUCUCCUCAGGCCUGGCUCUUACUGCUCCCUGCCUCUCACCUCCAGCAUCCAGUCUUUCCGGCUUGGUGGCUGCAACCCCAGGACGGGAGGACAGCAGGACCUGGGGAGGAGGCAAACUGACCAGACUUUGCUUCCUGACUCCAGCUGGACAGGGGGUGCCCAGCAGCCCCUCACCACCCACCUGGCCUGGGGAGUGGCGCCCCAGGGUUGGUGAAUGGUGAGGGGGCACUGGCGUUUGGACUUCUCCCAGGGGUGGCUGUGAGAGCUGCAUCGGGGCUACCCCGGGUUCUGUGGAGUAGGGACCACAUUCACUGACUGCUGUGGAGGCUUCUCAGAGUGCCUGGCUCCUGCGCUAUUGUCCUUCCAUCUCCUCUCUCUUUGCCUAAGAGGUGCCCCUCAGCCCCCACCCUGUUCUGUCCUGUUCUCCACUGCCCACCAGGAAAUGGCGAACGGUCUCUCGGCUGCUCCUCACUCCCUGUGUUCGGUCUAUGAGAUGCUGGUAAACCUAGAGAACCCAGGCCACAAAGGCUGUAGGGGGCGGGGUGGGCAUGGGGCCUGCAGCCAGGAGUGGGAGCCCCGCGGGGGGCAGCUGGGCGCAGGGUGGGAGGCAGUCUCCCAGGCUCUCUUCUCUGCUUUGGCUCCCUCCUCUGGUCUAUUUUAGGUUUCCAUACUCGGCUCCAGGGGAAGACAAGACAUAAUCCAUACUUUUGGGCCUCCUCUCUCCUUCCCCACCAAAGGGCCUAGAACCAGGGCUGCCUUGUGAAAAGGAAGAAAAGGGGGAAGGAAAGAAGGAAGGACGUUAGGAGAGAGGGACUUUCUGGAAGAAAGCUUGGGAUCAGGAAUUUUGAGCAAGAAAAGAUGUUAGAAAUGCAGAAUCUCGGGCUCCGCCCAGCCAUGGUGAAUCUGAAUCUUCCUUUUAACAAGGGCCUGAGGUGAUGCCUAGACGUUAAUGUCUGAGAGGCUCUGCCUUGGGGUCCUGCUCCCAGGGCCCUGGGGUCUCUGGACAGCAGAGGACUCCUCAGCAGACCUGUGGUGGCAGCAAUGAUGGAACAUUUGAGUUCUUCUCCCUGACGGUGUCCCCUUUCCAGUCUCUUCCAGGCUCUGGAGCCCUCUAGGGAUCACCCUUCCCCGAGGCAGGACCUGGCUGACCUUUAGGUCUGGAGGUGGCCUCAGCUCUCAGGGCUGGUUGGGCCCCUGGGCAGUCAGAGGAGGUGGGUAGGCUGGAGGGGUUGGGGCUCGGCUGGGACCGAGAGACACAGGCCUGGUGUGCACAUCCUCUUUCCUGUGCCCUCACUUGGGGCUGCAAAAAGCAGCCUGGAUCUGUAACUCUUGGCAUUGCUUGCUGCUCUGAGCCUUUGAGUUUUUGGAGUUGGGCAAGGCGGCCCCUCUCGCUGGUGGGGGACCUGGUGACCACACCUGGGUGCACUGUUUGAUGGCUGCUCUGGAGGGUGUUUGACACACCCAGUGGUGCUCCCUUCUCCGAUCACACUUCUCACUCCCAACUCUGUUUGAGGAUGGGGAGCGUUUAUUCCCCAGGUGUUCAGGGACCUCCAGGGAAGGAGGAGGAAAGAGAGCCCUGCUCUUCUUUGUGGCCUAUAGACUAGAGGAGGGUGUGCAAGGCGGCAGGGCUUGUGAGUCAAGACGUGCUCUAGGGCCCUGGUGCCAGCAGGAGGCCCGCAGCUGAGUGACUUCCUUAGUUUUCUGUCCUCAGAGAUGCCCAAGCAAAGCUGCCAUCCCUGACAGGCUGCCAGCCUGCCCUCACGCUCCUCAGCCACGCCAGGGCCUGUUUGAUGGGCCUUGGGGCCCCUGCGGCCCGUAUCAAGCCAGGCUCAUUUCUCUAGGCCAAGGGAACAGUGAAAGUGACCUACCAGGUCCUGCUGGGGUCCAGGGCCACACAGUUGUCUGGGGCAGGGGUCGGGGGAGGGGGCUCUACCGCCCUCUCUGGGAAGGCCAGCUGUGCCUGGGUCACCAUGCUGCACCUUUACUGGGGGGUCGUCUGUUAAGGGCCACUCAGCUGAGUCCACAGGCCAGUGGGGAGGUUUGUGUGCAGAGGACCCUGGCUGCCUCGGAUGGGUGCCCCCCUUUCCUCCCGGCAGGUGGAGAGCUGGAGGGGGGGCCAGUUUUGGGGCUUGGCUUCCAGCCUUGCAGGGAUCAUCAUAGGUCUCAGAGUGUGUUGGAAUGAGUCUUUGCACAACCUUAAGGAGGGCCCAGCAGUUCCAGGAGACAGUACCCAGGGUUGUGAGGAGGUGGGAGGAAAGGGGAUGGAGUGAUGGCAGAGAAGAAGGCCAAAGGGAGUUGGGGGACUCCACAGCGGCUGACUCCCCAGGCUUCCGGUUCUGGGGCUGGGCUGACUCCCCAGGCUUCCGGUUCUGGGGCUCAGCCCGCCUCCUUCUGGUCCCUACCCAUGGGGCUGGGUCUCAGAGACCUUGCACCCUAGGAGUCUGGGAUUCUAGGAGGCUAAGCCAAUCCCCAGGCCAUGCUACAGGGAACGGAGACAAACUUCUCCCCCGAACUUUUUCUUGCGAGCAGUUAAUUGCCCUGGUGUCUGAGGCUGCAGUGUACAUGCCAGGGGACUUUAAUGAAUGCAGAUGACAGCUGAUUAAUCUGCCGUCUCUGGAGCCCUGCUCCUCUCUGUGGGGUCUGGCUACGCUCCAUUCAGCCUCAAUGGCCUGCACCAGCGGGGUGGGCUCCAACCUAUUACCACUGGCGCUUCCCACCCUAAUGGGGAAGAGGGCAAGCCCCCGCCCCUCCUCUGCGCCCCUGAGCCUGCAGUCUUGUCACACAUGAGGGGCUGGCCUGGAGGAGUAGGCUUGCCCCUGCUGGACUCUGUCACUGGGCAUUUCCCUACAGGAAGGGGGCCGAUUACAUGGAGAGACCCAACCAGCUGCUCAGUGGGAUUCGUGUGAAGGGAUUAAAUUUAGGGGCGCUGUCUAGACAAUGGCAGAUGGUUGGUUUUUCAGUUACUUGCUGACCGUGGACUUGAGAGAGCAGCCAGGCCGUCAGAUCCUUCCCACUCUGGGGAAAGGCCCAGAGAGAGGCGCUGGGGCCAGGGGAGAGGCCCUCUUUCUCUCCCGGCUGGGCUGCCCAGGCUCCCGGGAAGGCCACAGCUGUGGGGCUUCAUAGGUGCCGAGCGCUGUGCCGCUGUCGGGGUGGCUUACAGUCUGGUGGGGACACGAGAGUAAAGAGGCAACUACAGAUGUGAGGAGGUCCAAGAGGAGGACACAGGGGCCUCGUUCUGGGCAGGGAGGCCUUCCUGGAGGACACAGAGUGGGCUCUCCACCCGAGAGUGGUGCUUGCCAGAGGGAGGGGAGGCCCCUAUUCCAGACUCCAGCUGCCAGACCUGAGUUCCUUCAGGACGUCCUCAUCCCCAAGAAGCCCCAGACCCUUAGCACCUCCUCCUGGAGCUGCUUGCCCCUCCCUUUGGGCUGCCUGGCUGCUGGGGGAGGGAGGAUUGGUGAGGAGGAGCGUGGAGGGAGUGAGAAUCAGGCCUGGAGUGGAGGCUGCUGACCUCCUCCUGGGCAGGACCCCCACCGGGAAGCAGAAGCAGAGGUCCCUUUGGGGUGGAAGCCCCCUCAGAUUCCACAGCAAUAAAGAAGGGGCCCCGAGCUCAGCUCGCUCUUGCCACUGCAGCCUCUAAUGACAGGGUUGGGGUGUAAUGAAUAUCUGUGUGCUCAUAAAACAGGCUAAUGACUGCCCUCGUUUAAUGGACCCCUUUCAUCCUCACCCAUUCCCAAACCAGAAGGGACCAUGCCGGGGCUGGGCCCUGGAGCCUGGUAGCAGCCACAGACCAGCUCUUUGUGGUGGGGGCCAAUUCGUUCCUGAGCCUGAGGCCCCUCUGGAGGGAGACUGCCUUCUCCUCCUCCAUUCGUUAUCUAGUUGAAACAGCCCUGAGGAAUUUAGGUCGGCUGACUCUGGUGACCAGCCUUAGGAAGUAGGCAGGGGAUAGGGAGGGAGGAAGCAUAUACACCCUGCUUCUUAAGAACAGUGUCGACACUUAUAACACAUGGCGGCAGAGAAAGAGCAUUUAGCCCCCGCUGGCUGCACCACGCCCCUUUCCUCUGCCCAGGUACGGAUAGGAGCUCACAGAUCAUCCCAGCGUCAACUCCAACACCUGAGGAGAGCCAGACCAGAGGAGGGAGGCGCUGGGCCUGCUGAAUCACCAGCACCUGUGUUUUGCUUGGGCUGUCUCCCGCUCAGGGACUAGCCAAGCCUGACCCUGUUUGGCUUCCUGGAGCUUGGUGAGAUCACAGCCCGGGGUGUUGUGGCUGCAGGCCAGUGUGACCUGCUAUGCAGGGAGUAUUUUUAAAGAGAUACUUGCCCCUGUGUUCCCAGGAUUAGCUCAAUGAGAGAUUCAAGUUGUUCUUUGAGUCCUGCCCCCUGCAAUUUGAUUGCAGAAAUUGGUGAGGGGAAUGUGGAGUCAUUUGGGAUAAAAUGUGUAGUGGAAAUAAACAAUCCAAUCCACUUGUCAUGGACCAGCCCUGGGGGUGGCCAGGGGUCCCAGUGACUGGUAGCAUCUGAGGGAGGGGGAUGGGCAGAAUCAGAGGCCCCAGGCCCCCAAGGAUGGAAGGACAGUCUGAUUUGUUUUCCUCAGACUUCUAGAACUCCUGACUGUGGUCUCCUGGGUAGAUCCUGGACAGGAGCCACAAGUCACCAUGACAGGGUCUGCCAGUGGCAAGAAACUCGUUAAUGAGUCAGCCUCAGUGUUCCCAUCCAGGCACUGGUCCAGCCCUGCCUCCAGGCCACCUGCAGAUAAUUGGGGUCAAUGGAGGGCAGAGGAUCCCAAGAAUGCAAGUUCCCGUGCCUUUAACCGUCCUCCUGGGUUCUUAUCCUUUCCCCUUGGAGACAAGUGCCCUCUUACAAUGUGGGGCAGAAGAAAGCACAGCUCUCGGGUCACACAGAGUCUCUCAGGGGACACCUCAGGAGGAAAGGAACCUUCAGGGAGGUGCAGGUCUUCAGUUCUGGGUUCAGGAGAGUGGGGAGCAGGCAGGAAAGUUUCAGAUGCCUCCUCAGAGUCUCUAUCUUUCUAGUCCACUGACACUUCUCUUCCGCUGUGAAGCCUCCUCGAUCGCCUUCCAGUGCUCCCCCUCACCCUCUGCGCUGGGCUCCAUCGUGGCGCUGACCCCACUCAGCCUAGAACUGCAGCUGCUUGCUCUUCUGCCUCUCCUCGGACCGCCGGCUCCUCCAGAGGAUCUCGUCCGCCUACGUCUCUGUCUCCGGCGUUGUGGCAGGGGGAGAUGUGGUAAAUGUCUGAGGCAGAAGGGGAGGGACUGAGCACGCCGAGCGCCUGCCUUGUCCACGCCUUCCCUGUUCAUCGGUGCACUUGAUCACCUCAAAGCCCGCAAGGCAGGGGACCGAGGCUGCGGGGAGGGCGGUGACUCGGCCACAUCAUUAGGUAGCACAACUGGAAUUAAACCCAGCUAUUGCUGAUUUCAGACAUGAUGCUCUUUGCCCAACUCAAUACUGCCUCUCAAAUGUUCACUUAGAAGAAUGUGGGAGAGUGACAAAAUGGAUUAUGUGUCUAUGGAGUUGAAUCAAGGUGUUGUCCCUGGCUUGAAAAAUGCACCCAACUUGUGGCAGGAGAAGCAUUUUUAUUUCAUUGGAUCCAGCUUCCUUCCUUCUUUUCUUCUUCUUUCCAAGAAACAUUCUUGCCACGGUGAACUGUGAAAGAGCCUCAUGGCUGUCCCCGUGCCAUGUGCCCUUCCAGUGAAUCCAGGUGCUCAGGGCUGGAGCCACGCUGGGGGCUGGAGAGUGCCCUGGGCACAAGGGCUGAUCAAUUUGGGGACAGGAUGAGCUCUUUUUUCAGUCUGGAAAAGCACCAGUUGCCCCAUCUGUGGCCCCUGGCUGUGGGAUCUGUGAUUCUGUCCUCGGACCCUUCUGGAGUAGUGUCAGUCCCAUGGACUGCAGGAGGUGGUCACAUCUCCACUGUGGGGAAAGCCAGAGGAUUCCUCUUCCCAUCCUUCCCCUUCUCUCUAUCCCAGCGUCUUCCUCCUCUGCUGUCUCUCCUCUCUCUAGUCUCAUCUUCCUCAGCCCUCCCUUCCACCCUCUUUUUCCCUCUCCCCUCCUCUCCCUUCUGUUCUCCUUCCUUCACGGGGAACCUUAGCCCCCUAUCAGGAAACAGGUUUCUUCAGACCCUCCGAUCCCCGAGUCUGCCUCCUCUGGAUUGGCGCUGUCCAUCCCAUACAACACUGUGUGAUGAUGGGAAUGUUCUGGCUCUGCGCUGUCCUGUAUAGUAGCUGCCAGUCAUAUGUGGCUACUGAACACUGCAAUCGUAGCUUGUGCUGCUGAGGAACUGAAUUUUUACGUAUUUUAUUAGAUUUUAAUUAAUUAAUUAAAAUAGGCACAUAUGGCUAGUGGCUACUGACUUGGACAUCAGAGCUGUAAAUGAUACCAAGUGCUGGACUCCCAGGGGGUCCCUGCAGCUGUCCCCCAUCCUUGUCCGGGCCCUGCCCUCCCUCAAGUGCUCUCCCAUGCUCAGCUUCCUAUUCUGCACCCUGUGAGAAGCCACGGAAGCCUGGGUUCGGGGCUUGGAGCUGGGUGACCUCGGGCACUGGAUCUGUGAGCCUCAGUGGCCUCUUCUGUGAGAUAAUGAGGGUAAUUUCUUAAGGAAGGUGCCCAAGCUUUAAGGAUUCCUUUCAGCUCUAAGUUCUGUGUGUCUUUGGGCGGGAGCCUGCUGUGACCAGAUCUGGGUGAGUCAGUGCGAGCAGCAGGGCGGUCAGUCUGUGUGUGUGUGCAUGCAUGUGUGUGCACAUGCUGGGGGGGCGGGUGCUAUGAAGGGCAGCAGUGAGACCCUAGAGGCUCCUGCUUAUCAGUCUGACCCUGCCUGCCUGACAGCCUGAGACCGGGAAAAGGGUUAAAGGCUCCCUCGUUAGGGGAGGUUGCAGCCGGACUCCACUCCCGGCAGGCGUUUGCCCGCUCCCUGGCAAUUCCAGCUACUGGCAACUCCUCGGCUAUUCCAACACUGCCCCAGACUUCCUCUUUUGCCAUAAAAGUCUCCCGGAAAGCCUUCCCACAGAGGCCCCGGGGCUUUCUCAGGGAAUGUGUGAGUGUGUGUGAGCACAGGCACUGUAGAGCAGGAGCCCCGGGCCGUGUGCACGCUCUCCCACAGAGCCGCAGGCCCUGGUGCUGAAGGGGAUGUCUGUCCCAGCUCCAGGGGGAGGGAGGAGGUGGGCCUUGGCCUAGACUGAGCCCUGGCUCCUGCGAUGCUUAGACUUUAAUCAGCUUGAACAACUGGGACACAUGUGUGCACACACACCCGUGCACACACACUGCAUGGGGAGGUGUGUGGAAGGAAGGAGAAUUAGCCUUUGCUGCUUUGCUCUCCCUCCAAGCCUCAGUUGCAGCAGAUCCCCCACAUCUGGAGGGAAGAGGGAGAUCCUUGGAGAAAGGCUGUUCUUAGGCUCACGGGUGUGAUGGAGGCUCCAAGCCUAUGGCUGAGGCGGAAGGGACCAUUGAGAGGAGCCCUCUGGGGACAGGGGAGAGAAGCCCACCAACCAGGAUGUGACGGGACACAGCCUCAGUGCGGAGAGAAGACAAUGCCUUCUCUUCUGCUCCAGAAGCUGCCCAAGCCACGGGGGUCCUGGGUCACAGAACCCACCCGGUGGGGAGUUGCAUCAGAGCAGAACUGCACGGUAGAUGCCUUGGGGGAGAGGGCACUGAGGGCUUGUGAUCCUAAUUUUCCAACCUUCAGGUGCUUAGGGUUGAAUCCUUGGCCUCCACUGGCUCUGCUCACCAUCUCCAACACUCUUCUGCGCUAGUCUGCACCCAGAUGGAGGUGGUUGCUGGGGGUGAGCGCAGAAUGCAAGGUGUAAACCAGCGGUCACCAGGCUUUAAUCAGCCCUGAGUCAGAGAGGUGGGUGGGAACACCUUCAGGUGGUCUUGGGGAUCCCCCACAAGCACGGGCUUCCUGGGAAAAGACAGCCCUCCCUGACUGGGAACAGACGAGGCCUUUCUCUGCUGACACUAUACACCCCAGGAGAACAGAGAGGCCACUCAAGUCUUGAAUGAUUGAGAAGCAGACCUGCCUGGAGGCAGGGAGUUUGACCAGAGGACUUGUUGGGUCCCUUCUGACUCUUGUCAUUCCACACAGAGGACUCACCACAUCAAUGCCUCUUGGCUCCAAGGACCUACUGAGAGUUUGCGGGAUCCCACUCUUGGGCCUGGGGAGACGACAUUCUGGGGUCAGGGGAUGGAGAAGGGUGUGGGGACAGAAAGGGGUAUCCCACAGAGCUCUUUUGGAGUUUGUGAAUUUGCUCCAGUGUUUUUGCUUCCCUAGAAAUAGGAGAGAGAGUGGCAACAGUUGGUAAGGUCUGAAGAUUGCUUUUUGCUUAUGCGUGGUCUUGGUAAGAAAGUCAUGGGGUGUGUUCCUCCUUUAUCAUAGCUGGCAGCCCGGAUUUCCCACAAUACAAUGAAUGGGAGCCUGAGGUCUGGCUGGUUGGCAGCUUCCCCACACGUCUCUGUGGGCCUCUGUGUAGCUCUUCCCGCUUUAGAUCUGUGGGCAAGAGGUCCCCUCUGUGUAAUGUCAGCCCUAGGAGCACAGCUGCCUUCCCAGGCUCAGGACCUCCCUCUAGCUUGCUAGAGCUCAAAGCCACGCCUGCCCCAGCCCCUGCCUCUACCCAUCUCCUCCCUCCCUAGACAGGGCCAUCACCACCCAGGGCACAGCGACCAAACACAGCAGAUGGAUCAACUCUCUGAGAUGGUCCCUGUUUGCCUCUUUGUUCGAACAUUGCCACCCCUUCCCUUCCUUUGAGCAGAUUCCCCACAUAGGUGGGUGGCUGCAGACAGUUGUGGAAGCACAUAUGAGCCAUGGAUGAUGAGAUCUGAAAGGGAGUUUGGAAAUCCUUUAGUGGGGUCCACCCUCUGCAUUUUACUGAGGAACUAAUUCAGGUCCCCAGCAUCCGUGGGACCACUUACAGCCCGCGUGAGUCUAGAACUCAGUUCUCCUGAUUCCCAGUGUGAGAUAAUUUAUAAGAAAUUACCUUUUAAUUUUCCCAGGGGCUUGGAUGGGCAUGGGGCUGAAAUUUGGAAAAAUUUGGGCAGAAUUUUCUCUUUUUCCAAGAUCCAGGUGGAUGGUUCUGGGCAAAUGGCUGGUGUUUAAUAAAUGCCUGUUGAUUGGCCUGCA